GUGCCCUCAAGCGAGAACCUCUCGCACACACAACUCGCAGAGCAGAUCCAUUCGCCGCCGCCUAUCCCUGGGCUACCUACAUCCCUUCGCCACCACCCUCCCAUCAAGCCACCGCCGAUCCUGGAGCUACCUCCAUCCCUUCGCCGCCGCCCUCCCAUCAAGAUGCUGACGAUCCUGGAGCCAUCUACCCCUGGAUCCCUUUGUGGGUGCCGAUCCUGUCGAGGAGCUGCCGCUGAUCCCAUUCAGGAGCCAAAGCUGAUCCCCUUCAGGAGCCUGCGUUGAUCCCCUUCAGGAGCCGCCGACGAGAUCGGACCAGCGAGUUCAAAGGAGCUGUUGUCUGAUAGGUACGUAUGGGGAAUUCAAAAAGCAAGGCAAGUGAACAUUAACCAGACAAAGACGUACCUACAGGCCAUAUGGAUGGGACAAAUGUUGACGAUAGUUACUCACUGGAUCCAGGCAACAACACAUCAGAUGGAUCCAGUUUGCUACGAGUAGGAGUGCAUCAUGAUGCUUCGUUGCCGUCUCUGAGUAAUCUCACACUGGUUUAUGGCAUAGAUGUACCAUAAAAUUCAAAUGGUUCUGGUCAUAUGUAUGAGGGGAAUCAGGUAGGGCUUGAUGCGAGUGGGAGUGAAUGUCCAAUGUCUACUUCAACAUCCAAGCACCAGACAACCGGAGUUGUCUUGAGUGAUAAUGCAAGGGAGCACAUUAAUACCCGCACGCGAGCUGAUUAUCGGAAGAAAAAUGAUGAGUGUAUAGUCAAGGUCCAUUUUGAAGAUCAACCUUCACUUGCGAUAUCUGAAUUAUCUAGCGUGCCACAUUAUAAAGAAGAUAAAAGGGAGCUUAUAAACGCACGAAGGCGAGCAUCUUAUCGGAAGAAAAAGGAAGGUACGACCGAAUUACAACAUGAUGUGAAAAGUAUUCCCCAGCAUGCUCUCCUUCAUAUCGAUAAUGUUGAUCCACCUUCCAAUGCGAUGUCAGGUACACUUUUCAUUGACAAUAUAUGUUUUCAGAAGCGUUUGGACACGUUUGGUUCAUUUUCCUUCAUACAUUGUGCUGCUUUCUGGGCUUUCUGGAUUGUUAUUUUUACAUGAUGCAGACGACCCAACGGUCUCAUACAUGCCCACGACCAUGCUAGGGUUUGGUCAGACACCGCCGCCGAUCCAUUCAUGACAGGCGAUCGGAGAAGUGGAGAAGUCGCUAUGAUCUAGCAACUAUCUUUGAUCAAAUCAUGUUUGUAUUCCAAUAAUUGGUUGCCUUGGCCUAUCAUUGCAGCUCCAGCGCAUAGGCACAUGUAAUUGUUCGGAAGCUCGGACCCUCUGGCGUUUUGUCGAGCGUUGGUGAUCGGGGAUGGUUGUUGGCUUGUUGCGCGCCUGCUGACUACCACCAAUGGAUCUGCAUCGACCUAGCGGUGGAGGGGACAAGAUGGGGUGGAUUUAAUGCUCUAGGAGCUGUCUUGAAUGACGCCAAACAAACCAGGCAAAACGUGUGGAAGAUUGCAACAAUACCUUGUCACAAGAAAAGAGGGAGCAGAUAAAUGCCCAGAGAUGAGCUACUUAUUGGAAGAAAAAAGAUCUGCUUAUCGAAGAUGAAAAUCUGCGUGCCCCUACGAUAGUACCCUUUGUUAAGGCAUUGAUAGAUGUGAAAGUUGCCAGUGCUCCCCCAUGUGAAUGGUCAGAGUAUUUGAUCUUAUGGUCGGAGGAUGGAUGCGAACACUUGUUUCUCCAGCAAUAACCGAAGUUUCAUCAUUCAGUGUAGUAGUUCUGGUUCUUCAAGUAGGAGAAACAGACAUGUAUGACAUGACACAACCUUGUUUUAUAUGUGUUGAACCACUUCGAUAUGUAAGAUCUUGCCUCCUCUAAUGUAUGAUGGUUUCAUCAAACUUUUCCUAGGCACUACCAA